rnacentral:tRNA from 1 species
UAAGUGUAACUUAAGACUUCUAAUCUUUUACUAGCAAAAAUUGCUGCACUU